rnacentral:rRNA from 1 species
GACGAACGCUGGCGGCGUGCUUAACACAUGCAAGUCGAACGGAAAGGCCCUGCUUUUGUGGGGUGCUCGAGUGGCGAACGGGUGAGUAACACGUGAGUAACCUGCCCUUGACUUUGGGAUAACUUCAGGAAACUGGGACUAAUACCGGAUAGGAGCUCCUGCUGCAUGGUGGGGGUUGGAAAGUUUCGGCGGUUGGGGAUGGACUCGCGGCUUAUCAGCUUGUUGGUGGGGUAGUGGCUUACCAAGGCUUUGACGGGUAGCCGGCCUGAGAGGGUGACCGGCCACAUUGGGACUGAGAUACGGCCCAGACUCCUACGGGAGGCAGCAGUGGGGAAUAUUGCACAAUGGGCGGAAGCCUGAUGCAGCAACGCCGCGUGCGGGAUGACGGCCUUCGGGUUGUAAACCGCUUUCGCCUGUGACGAAGCGUGAGUGACGGUAAUGGGUAAAGAAGCACCGGCUAACUACGUGCCAGCAGCCGCGGUGAUACGUAGGGUGCGAGCGUUGUCCGGAUUUAUUGGGCGUAAAGGGCUCGUAGGUGGUUGAUCGCGUCGGAAGUGUAAUCUUGGGGCUUAACCCUGAGCGUGCUUUCGAUACGGGUUGACUUGAGGAAGGUAGGGGAGAAUGGAAUUCCUGGUGGAGCGGUGGAAUGCGCAGAUAUCAGGAGGAACACCAGUGGCGAAGGCGGUUCUCUGGGCCUUUCCUGACGCUGAGGAGCGAAAGCGUGGGGAGCGAACAGGCUUAGAUACCCUGGUAGUCCACGCUGUAAACGGUGGGUACUAGGUGUGGGGUCCAUUCCACGGGUUCCGUGCCGUAGCUAACGCUUUAAGUACCCCGCCUGGGGAGUACGGCCGCAAGGCUAAAACUCAAAGGAAUUGACGGGGCCCCGCACAAGCGGCGGAGCAUGCGGAUUAAUUCGAUGCAACGCGUAGAACCUUACCUGGGUUUGACAUGGAUCGGGAGUGCUCAGAGAUGGGUGUGCCUCUUUUGGGGUCGGUUCACAGGUGGUGCAUGGCUGUCGUCAGCUCGUGUCGUGAGAUGUUGGGUUAAGUCCCGCAACGAGCGCAACCCUUGUUCACUGUUGCCAGCACGUUAUGGUGGGGACUCAGUGGAGACCGCCGGGGUCGACCCGGAGGAAGGUGGGGAUGACGUCAAGUCAUCAUGCCCCUUAUGUCCAGGGCUUCACGCAUGCUACAAUGGCUGGUACAGAGAGUGGCGAGCCUGUGAGGGUGAGCGAAUCUCGGAAAGCCGGUCUCAGUUCGGAUUGGGGUCUGCAACUCGACCUCAUGAAGUCGGAGUCGCUAGUAAUCGCAGAUCAGCAACGCUGCGGUGAAUACGUUCCCGGGGCU